AUUGAACGCUGGCGGCAUGCCUUACACAUGCAAGUCGAACGGCAGCACGGGUGCUUGCACCUGGUGGCGAGUGGCGAACGGGUGAGUAAUACAUCGGAACGUACCUUAUCGUGGGGGAUAACGCAGCGAAAGCUGUGCUAAUACCGCAUACGUCCUGAGGGGGAAAGCGGGGGAUCGAAAGACCUCGCGCGAUUAGAGCGGCCGAUGCCUGAUUAGCUUGUUGGUGGGGUAAAAGCCCACCAAGGCGACGAUCAGUAGCUGGUCUGAGAGGACGAUCAGCCACGCUGGGACUGAGACACGGCCCAGACUCCUCCGGGAGGCAGCAGUGGGGAAUUUUGGACAAUGGGGGCAACCCUGAUCCAGCAAUGCCGCGUGAGUGAAGAAGGCCUUCGGGUUGUAAAGCUCUUUUGUCAGGGAAGAAACACCGGCUCUAACACAGUCCGGGAAUGACGGUACCUGAAGAAUAAGCACCGGCUAACUACGUGCCAGCCGCCGCAGUAA
rnacentral:rRNA from 1 species